rnacentral:lncRNA from 1 species
UCAAAAAAAGUAAAUUUUAUUUCGUCAACGCUUUUUGUAAAUAUAAUUUAAUUAUUGGAAUUGUCAAUGAUAAAAAACAGUUCUUUUUCUUCAAAAAAACAACUCAUUUAAUUAUUAAUUUAAUAAUUUGAUGUAUCGGUACAUGCAAAUUGUUGGGUAUACCAUAGAAUUUGCGAAAGUUGGACUAAGGUAACCCCAAAUCCAAUUAACACGGGGGACAUAUGACAGUAGGUGUUCUAGCCCCUGGAGUGCUACGAUAGUAAAGUACCAUACAAAAACCACCACCAUAGACAAAACUUACAAAGAGCAUAGUAAAUAAUAAUACGAGCAAACCAUAAAUUGCUUUGAAGACUUUGUUAACACAGUCAAUAAAGUCAUAUGGAUAUUUUCCUUCAGCACGAGGUUUCAUCUUCUGAAUAUGAGUCAUCACAUACUCAGAUGAAAAACUGCAAGCUGCUUCAGAACAUACAUAUACACUAAUUGCACCUACAAAGAGAUAAAUAACCAAAUGGUGAGAGUAAAAUCUUCUUGCAGUAUAAUAAAAAGAGACUUCCACAUAUGUAGCUUAACUAAUGUACAUAAUUAAAAUGGAAAAUCACAUUACAAGUCACAAGAAAAUUAGUGUUCAAUAAAUGAGAAAUCUUGAUAUAUAAGUGUUGAAUAAGCUUUUGAAAUAUCCAAACUUAGAAUGCAAAUAAUUUAAACAAAAAGCAACGGAAAAAGUUCAAGAGCACUAAUAGAAACAAAAAAAGUAAAUAACUAUAAAUAUGUAGUCUCUUGGGUAUACGUAAAGAGUUUUUACAUGAGUAUAGUGCCAUCCCAUGGAUAUUGCAAGAUAAAGAACGGGAUUCAACGUUUCAAAGAACAAUGAAUUGAUAGUUGGAUUAAGGAUAAGUUUUAAUUAUUUGCAUUGUGAAUAACCAGCUUACUGCAAUUAACCUUUAACAGGUCAGCAUAUGGUGCAAAAUAUAUAAGCUAGGGCAAUCAGAUCUUAUUAGCAUGCUCGAACUUUUGAUGUGUGUACAGUGUUCAAUUCUUUAAACUAAAGUUUG